rnacentral:lncRNA from 1 species
GUAUGAUACUAAACCCCUAACGGGAAGGAUUGUGCCUGAUGUUCAUAUGAUGAAAUCAUAAUCUUUCAGUCAGUUUAAUUGAAGUCUGGAGCUGGCAUGUCAGUUAACUGCUAGUAGUCUGUUGUUAUUUAUGUAUUAUUGUCAUUUUGUUUAUUUUCUUUGGUUACAUCUUCUGACAACAGACUCGGACUUAUCUUGAACUGAAUGUUAAUGUGCGUAUUGUUAUGCGUUUACUUUUCUACAUUGGCUAGAUGUAUAGGGGGAGGGUUGAGAUCUCACAAACAUGUUUAACCCCGCCGCAUUUUUGCGCCAGUCCCAAGUCAGGAGCCUCUGGCCUUUGUUAGUCUUGUAUUAUUUUAUUUUUAGUUUCUUGUGUACAAUUUGGAAAUUAGUAUGGUGUUCAUUAUCACUGAACUAGUAUAUAUUUGUUUAGGGGCCAGCUGAAGGACGCCUCCGGGUGCGGGAAUUUCUCGCUACAUUGAAGACCUGUUGGUGACCUUCUGCUGUUGUUUUUUUCUAUGGUCGGGUUGUUGUCUCUUUGGCACAUUCCCCAUUUCCAUUCUCAAUUUUAAUAA